rnacentral:rRNA from 1 species
UGGGGAAUUUUCCGCAAUGGGCGCAAGCCUGACGGAGCAACGCCGCGUGAGGGAUGAAGGCCUCUGGGCUGUAAACCUCUUUUAUCAAGGAAGAAGAUCUGACGGUACUUGAUGAAUAAGCCACGGCUAAUUCCGUGCCAGCAGCCGCGGUAAUACGGGAGUGGCAAGCGUUAUCCGGAAUUAUUGGGCGUAAAGCGUCCGCAGGCGGUUUUACAAGUCUGUCGUUAAAACGUGGAGCUCAACUCCAUUUCGGCGAUGGAAACUGUAAGACUAGAGUGUGGUAGGGGCAGAGGGAAUUCCCGGUGUAGCGGUGAAAUGCGUAGAUAUCGGGAAGAACACCAGUGGCGAAGGCGCUCUGCUGGGCCAUAACUGACGCUCAUGGACGAAAGCUAGGGGAGCGAAAGGG